rnacentral:rRNA from 1 species
CAGAAACUCAAAGGAAUUGACGGGGCCCGCACAAGCGGAGGAGCAUGUGGUUAAUUCGAUGAUACGCGAGGAACCUUACCUGGGCUCGAACGUAAGAUGACUGUAGGUGAAAGCUUACAUCUCUUCGGAGCAUUUUACGAGGUGCUGCAUGGUUGUCGUCAGCUCGUGCCGUGAGGUGUCGGGUUAAGUCCCAUAACGAGCGCAACCCCUACCUUUAGUUGCCAUCAGGUAAUGCUGGGGACUCUAAAGGAACUGCCUACGCAAGUAGUGAGGAAGGCGGGGAUGACGUCAAAUCAGCACGGCCCUUACGUCCAGGGCUACACACGUGCUACAAUGGCCGAUACAGAGGGCAGCUACCUGGUGACAGGAUGCAAAUCUCCAAAGUCGGUCUCAGUUCGGAUCGGAGUCUGCAACCCGACUCCGUGAAGUUGGAUUCGCUAGUAAUCGCGCAUCAGCCAUGGCGCGGUGAAUACGUUCCCGGGCCUU